UUUCCGUGCCCGACCAACCCCCGCAGUCUCCGGCCUCCUUCUCUACCCCGAAUGGAUCGAGGCAAGCAUAUCUGUGUGUUCCAUGGAUGACCACGAGGAGAUCGAGCACACGCAUGCCCCGCGACCUCCUCUGUCUUUACCCUUGCGCGAGCCGGCAAGCUCUUUUGCUCGAGCCGGCGACCAACCAAGCAGCAGCAGUCCCGGAGCAGCGUGCAACUCGCCAGCCACCCGCAGCUCCCGAUCUGGAGCGGGAUCACCCGUUCUCCUCCACCCCGCUUCAUUUUCCGAUGACCGGCGCCGCGACCAGCAACCGCGAGCCAGCCAUCAGGGCAGUCCCUUGUGCAUCCUUCCUCCUCCCUUUCUCUCCUCUCCCUCGCGACUCCCUCUCUGUUUCUUCUCUGAAUCUAUCUCUGUCCCUUUCUUUCUUCAGGCAACAACAUCGCCAUGGAAGGCAGCUUUCGCGAGCAUCACCUCGGUCCUCCUCGACCCUGAAUCUUCUUCAAUCCGCCGCCUAGCUUAGAAGCUCGGGUGCGGAGCGAGCAGAGUCCAGCUCCAGCACCCGUGUGGGUGACGAGUGCCCCAAGCCCAGCCAGUCUCGUCAGCCAUCCCAACACUAACCUCGCUGGCCCUGUUUUCUCCUUGCUGUAAGAACUCUCCAUCUGAUAUGAAGCUUCGUUUAGUUUUCCUAAA